CUGGUUUCCCCAGCACCUAUCUGGAGGAUCACAGUUGUCUAACUUUAGUUUCAGGGGAUCUGACACACUCAUCUGGCUUCUGUAGGUACCAGGCCUGUGCAUGAUGCCCAUAUAUACACGCAGGAAAACCAUUCAUACACUUCAAAUAAAAAUAUUUGUUUUUAAUUUUGAAGAAAAUUCUUUAAAGGAGCUAAACCACAGCCACCACAAAUGAGUGAGAAUGAGGCUAGCCCAAGACCCCGCUCCAGUCUCAAAGAAAAGCAGGAGCUUUUCUAAAGCCUGACCGGAGGAAGACUGGCAAAGUGAAGAGCCCAAAGCUCGUCAGAGUUCAAAUGGUGUAAGUAAAAGUCCUAGAAAUAAAAGGAGAGAGAUGGCUGGGCAGUGGUGGCACAGGCCUUUAAUUCCAGCACUCAGGAGGCAGAGACCGGCAGAUCUCUAACCUCAAGGCCAGCCUGGUCUGCAGAGCGAGUUCCAGGAUAUCUAGGACCACACAGAGAAACCGUGUCUCAAAAAGAGAGAAAGAAGGAAAACAGCUGAAUGAGCCAACUGAAAGUCUAUUUAUGAAAAAAUAAAACAAAAACCUAAAACUUGAAUAUGCAAUUUUUCCUUUUAUAGGUUAACACACAGUGUGAUGAGAAUUAACCAAGCAUUUAUUUCAAACUUCUCUAAAAUGAAAAUGCAUCGAAAAAGGAGCGGUCUUAGGAGAACAGGACACAGACAUGUUUAUCAAUAUAGAAAACGUAUGAAAAGGGAGCAGAAAAGAGACCAAGAACGACAAACCUCCCCAAGAAAAAAAGUAAAACACACAAACCACAAUCAAAAAUAGUAUCUGCGCUAGGAAACCCCACACUUCCGGGAUCCUCUUGAGUACAAAUACCUAUUGAAUUCACAUACUUGAAAGACUGUCCCUCUCAUUCAGUGCGACAAGCUGAUACAAAGAACAGAUUGGCUGAGAGAGCCUCUCCAACACCCACAGAGGAAGCCAUCUUCAUAUCUAGUCCCGGUAGGCCUGGGGUUGUUUGCAGAUCACCUUCCCAAAUACACACACACUACUCAUACUUGAACUGAGUUUGGACAUGUAUUGAAGAAUUUCAGAUCACAUCACAAGAGGAAGGGACCCAGGACACCAUCUGCAGACUAGGAAGCUCAACCUGCUAUGUGAAACAGAGUGACCCAGUUAAGUACAGAUUUAAUAGGGAAGAGAGAUUGCAUAUGAUUAAUUACAGUUACUUAUUUUUAUGGGUUUGAAUCUUGACGAGGAUGCCUAGCCUCUCCCCAUUUUAUUUCAUAAUUUCCCCCCUGUUGGAGACUGAAGAGCAAAAGUCAAUUGCCUGAGCGUUGUCGUCACACUGGAAACUAAAGGGCCCUGCAUUUCAAUUCCAGCUCAGGAAACACUCUGACUGAGCGGAUGCAAUUCGCCAGACCCCAGUGGGCUAGGCUCACACUGUCGUCAGUCAAAUCACACAGCGGAUGGAGAUCAGCAGCGCACAUUAGCAAUUUAGACUCAACAGCCUCUCCUCAGCCAGAAACUCUAAGAUAAUGCUGAAGGAAACGCAAAACUAAUCCAAAAGAUUUAGCCCGUAGCUUGAGCCCAUGCUCUUACCAAGAGGCAGGCAGGAGGCAAGUGACUUGUAAAAUGGCAUUUCUAAUAGGACUCUUGUCAAAACUCCAGGUUCCAAUAUCAAUGCGGUGACCUUUAGGCCUGACCUCACCCAGUACACUCCUGCCUACUCCCUGGGCCAUUAGCUCGGCAGCUGCCAACAAUAUGCUUUGUUAUGAGGCAGCUGAAUGCUUCUACAGAGACUAUGACCUGAGGUGUUCACCCCACCCUAAACCUCAGCCUGAACUAAGACACCUGACUUCUCUGGGCUUCAGUUUCUUCGAAUCAAAGAUCAAGAUUGGGAGUGAAGAGAAGUACCUACAUCACAAGCAUGAGAAGCAGAGUUUGGCCAGCUGUGGUGGCACAUACCUUUUGUCCUGGCGGUUGGGAGGCAGAGGCCAGUCUGGUCUACAAAGCAAGUUCCAGGACAGCCAGGGCUACAACAUAGAGAAACCCUGUCUCAAACAAACAAACAAACACCUGAAACAAACAAACAAAACUGAGUUUGGAUCCCCAGCAUGUAAAAGCUGGGCAUAGUGAGAUGCGUCUGUCACCCUAGUGCUGGUGGAUGAUGAAGACAAGUGGAUUCCCUUCUGAGCCAGGUAAUCUAGCCAGUCAGUGUUUAGAUUCUAACUAGGAUCAUCAGCCUUAAGGAUAAAGAUGCAGUGAUGAGGAUGUAGAAAACUACUUAUGAAAAGACCAAAAGUACAUAAAACAGUGACCAGACUCAACAUAGUUAUAACAUGCCUAUAAUCCCAGCACUCAGAAGGCAGAGGCAUGAGGAUCACUGCACAUUCUAGGCGAGUCUAGUCUAUAUAGCAAAUACUAGGGCAGUCACAGCCACUUAUCAAAGCCUUGACUCAAAAACAAAAACAAAAACAAAAAAAAAGUGUGUAUGCAUAUAAAUUUGUUUAAGCAUCUGCAUAUAUGCUUACAUGAAGCCUAAAGGAGGAAAUACCCCCAAAUUUUAAACUCUCAUCUUUGACUAGUAAGGUUGGGUCACUUUUAUUUUCUUCCUUGUGUACAUCAUUUUUAAUAUCUGCAUCAUGAUUGUGUGUUAUUCUUGUAAUAAGAAAGCUGGUGUACAUGGCAGCCAAGCGCUCUAAGAUAAACCUGAAGAUGGACAGCUGACGGCUGACCAAAUCCCAAGUCAUCUGACCGUUACUUGGGUGAUUUUCCUGUUAUACAAUCGCUCUUGUCUUUAAUAAAACUGAGCCAAGAACCACACAGAGAAAGGAAAAA